rnacentral:lncRNA from 12 species
AUUAAAAAAAAAAUUAAAAAAAAAAAGAAAUUCUGGAAAAAUAGACCAAUUUGGCCAGGUUGAUUUGGAUAAUCCACCUGGAUAUUCCACAGAUCAUGUUAACUAGGAUUCCUUUAGUUGUCAGAGGCAGACAACACUUUCAAAUAAGUAAGAAAACAAAAGGGGAAGAUAGUUGUUAACUCUUGCAGGUAGAAAAUCCAAGCGAGGCGCUGACUGUAAGCAUGACUAAAUCUGGAUGUCAGUAAACAUCCAAUGUUUGUCUGACCCUUUCCCCGCUCCCUCUUUCACUGCCUUCAUCGCUUGGCCUACUUGUUUUUGAAAGCGCUGCCUUAUGAUCUGUCACAGUGAAGACUCCUUCUGGGUACCCCCAAGAAAAUAGCUGAAGGAAGUUCCAGAUUCACAUCCAUUCUGAAAGAGCUCACUCCUUUCACCUGGUUACCAGCUUUCAAAGCCCAGGAUUCUGUUGUUUGUGAGAGAAGACUAAGUCAUAACCCAUUAGAGUGCGGCCUUCUCGGGCAACUCUGCACGAACAAAAACGAGUUAUAUAUAAAAUGGGAUCCUGAAAGAAUGAUUUUUAUGCCAAACACCUGAGAGAGAAGUCUUUCAGCGAUGUAAGGAAAAAAUGCUCUAAGAACCACUACUCAGAAAACUCUGCUUUUAGGUAAAACUUCUUAUCUUUCUUUCUCCUCCCUGUUCCUACCUCAUCAUAUACAUGUACAAAACCAUAAAUUCUAU